CCAGACAUCAUGAAAUCCAUCCUUGUUGCCGCUCUUGCUCUGGCCUGCGUGCUCGGACUCGCCACCGCUCAGUAUGGAUACGGUUAUCCCAGCACUCAAGGUGGCAUCGGGGGACAAUCAGGACUGAUGAUGUUGUUGCUCAUCUUCUUCCUCUUCUUCUUCCUCAACAACAACAACAACUCCAGCUCUGGUGGCACCAUCACCCUUGUUAACGCCUCUGCCUCUGGCUAAACUUGAUAAUCCAAGGAAAAGAAGCAGCAACACACCAAGCAUCACGUUCCCACAAAGCCCCAGUAGCCUGCAUUGCAAUGCACGUGUAGUUACAUAUUGUUUUCUGCUAUUAAGUUUUACAUUAAAAAUGAAACACAGA